AUACGUAGGUGGCGAGCGUUGUCCGGAUUUACUGGGCGUAAAGGGAGCGUAGGCGGAUUUUUAAGUGGGAUGUGAAAUACCCGGGCUUAACCUGGGUGCUGCAUUCCAAACUGGAAGUCUAGAGUACAGGAGGGGAAAGCGGAAUUCCUAGUGUAGCGGUGAAAUGCGUAGAGAUUAGGAAGAACACCAGUGGCGAAGGCGGCUUUCUGGACUGUAACUGACGCUGAGGCUCGAAAGCGUGGGGAGC
rnacentral:rRNA from 1 species